AGCUCCAAUAGCGUAUAUUAAAGUUGUUGCAGUUAAAACGCUCGUAGUCGGAUUUCGGGGCGGGCUGUAAGGUCUGCCGAUGGGUAUGCACUUUACGGCGCGUCCUUCCUUCCGGAGACCACACCUACUCUUAACUGAGCGGGCGCGGGAGACGGAACGUUUACUUUGAAAAAUCAGAGUGUUUCAAGCAGGCAUCUCGCUCUUGCAUGGAUUAGCAUGGGAUAAUGAAAUGGACUUUGGUGCUAUUUUGUUGGUUUCGAACACCGAAGUAAUGAUUAACAGGGACAGUCAGGGGCACUCGUAUUCCGUCGAGAGAGGUGAAAUU
rnacentral:rRNA from 1 species